UACGUAGGCACCAAGCGUUGUCCGGAUUUAUUGGGCGUAAAGAGCUCGUAGGCGGUGUGUCGCGUCGGCCGUGAAAACCUGCAGCUUAACUGUGGGCUUGCGGUCGAUACGGGCAUCACUGGAGUUCGGCAGGGGAGACUGGAAUUCCUGGUGUAGCGGUGAAAUGCGCAGAUAUCAGGAGGAACACCGGUGGCGAAGGCGGGUCUCUGGGCCGAUACUGACGCUGAGGAGCGAAAGCGUGGGGAGCGAACAGG
rnacentral:rRNA from 1 species